CCUACGGGUGGCAGCAGUGGGGAAUAUUGGACAAUGGGGGGAACCCUGAUCCAGCCAUGCCGCGUGUGUGAAGAAGGCCCUCGGGUUGUAAAGCACUUUCAGUGAGGAAGAACGCCUGGUGGUUAAUACCCAUCAGGAAAGACAUCACUCACAGAAGAAGCACCGGCUAACUCCGUGCCAGCAGCCGCGGUAAUACGGAGGGUGCGAGCGUUAAUCGGAAUUACUGGGCGUAAAGCGCGCGUAGGCGGCUUGAUAAGCCGGUUGUGAAAGCCCCGGGCUCAACCUGGGAACGGCAUCCGGAACUGUCAAGCUAGAGUGCAGGAGAGGAAGGUAGAAUUCCCGGUGUAGCGGUGAAAUGCGUAGAGAUCGGGAGGAAUACCAGUGGCGAAGGCGGCCUUCUGGACUGACACUGACACUGAGGUGCGAAAGCGUGGGUAGCAAACAGGAUUAGAUACCCCAGUAGUC
rnacentral:rRNA from 1 species